UACGUAGGGGGCAAGCGUUGUCCGGAUUUAUUGGGCGUAAAGAGCGUGUAGGCGGCCAGAUAGGUCCGUUGUGAAAACUCGAGGCUCAACCUCGAGACGCCGAUGGAAACCAUUUGGCUAGAGUCCGGCGAAGAGGAGAGUGGAAUUCCUGGUGUAGCGGUGAAAUGCGCAGAUAUCAGGAAGAACACCCGUGGCUAAGGCGGCUCUCUAGUACGGUACUGACGCUGAGACGCGAAAGCGUGGGGAGCGAACAGG
rnacentral:rRNA from 1 species